CCCAAAACUGGUAAUGUCCGUUCCCGAGGAGUAACCCAGCAUGCGGCAGAAGACAGUGGCAUCCGAAUUAUCCCAGCCAUCAUC